UGGGGAAUUUUGGACAAUGGGGGCAACCCUGAUCCAGCCAUGCCGCGUGCGGGAAGAAGGCCUUCGGGUUGUAAACCGCUUUUGUCCGGGAAGAAAAGGCAUCCCCUAAUACGGGGUGCUCUUGACGGUACUGGAAGAAUAAGCACCGGCUAACUACGUGCCAGCAGCCGCGGUAAUACGUAGGGUGCGAGCGUUAAUCGGAAUUACUGGGCGUAAAGCGUGCGCAGGCGGUUCGUCAAGUCUGAUGUGAAAGCCCCGGGCUCAACCUGGGAACUGCAUUGGAAACUAGCGAGCUUGAGUGUGGCAGAGGGGGGUGGAAUUCCACGUGUAGCAGUGAAAUGCGUAGAGAUGUGGAGGAACACCGAUGGCGAAGGCAGCCCCCUGGGCUAACACUGACGCUCAGGCACGAAAGCGUGGGGAGCAAACAGGAUUAGAUACCCCCGUAGUCC
rnacentral:rRNA from 1 species